rnacentral:rRNA from 1 species
GUCCACGCCGUAAACGAUGAAUGCUAGCCGUCGGGGAGCAUGCUCUUCGGUGGCGCAGCCAACGCAAUAAGCAUUCCGCCUGGGGAGUACGAUCGCAAGAUUAAAACUCAAAGGAAUUGACGGGGGCCCGCACAAGCGGUGGAGCAUGUGGUUCAAUUCGAAGCAACGCGCAGAACCUUACCAGGCCUUGACAUCCCGGUCGCGGCCCCUUGAAAGAGGGGCCUUCAGUUCGGCUGGACCGGUGACAGGUGCUGCAUGGCUGUCGU